UUUUUUUUCUUUUUAAUGGAACUAAAUAAAUCUGUGUUUGGGGAUCUGGUGGCUAAUGGUUUGCAUCAAAAUAGCUCCGUUCCGAACACUGGAAAAAUCCUAUUAACAAAUCUUCACGGUUUUGUGUUGUAGGCGUAGCUUCGGGUAUACGUUGCCUUGACUGUCGCUGGAUUUGCAACGUUUGGAUGACACUUUGCUGAAUGUAAAUACGUAGUAUGGCUGCUUUAAAUGCAGUUGUUUGUGGUUUUGUAUCAGUUUAGUAAGCUGUAGCUUUGAAAGCUCGUUUCCUGUAUGCGGGAUCUUCGUUUUUCGUAAAACUGUGAAGGAAACUGAAAAAAGUCAUUUACAUUUAGGAGGAACGUCUGACUGGUGCUCGGGAACAACAUAUUUAAUCUCUUGAGUCUGCCUGAGAGUGAAUAGCCAGCAUGAAAACCAGAUCUAGUAGCAGAGGCAGAGG